AAGAAUUUGUUCUUAACCGACUUGCCUAGUUAAAUAAAGGUAAAAAGACAAGCUACUGUGAAUGUUGCAGUAGGGCAUUAAAAAGUACUUCACAGACAAUCAGGUCAACGUGCUACAGUUUAGUAUAGUGUUGAGUCCUGAGAGUCCCACAUUUGGGCCGAGCUGCACAUCGCUGUCUGUCUUUGACAAGCUCGUGGGUUUGAUGAGGUGACUGUUCAGAGUUUUCUGCCGAAGAUGGUGAUGGAGGCUCAUCUGAGGGAAGACUGGGAAAGAACGGGGGAGGGGGAGGAAGAAAGAGCCUGUCAGAAGCGCCCCUCGUCUCAUCACAGGCGGCGCCAUGCAGGAGUUUGGAAACGAAGCGGUGUUUGUCACCCAGACCCUGAGAGGAGAGCUGCUAUCUGUCACACUUAAAAACAGCUGAUAAUAUAAGGAAAAAACAACAACAAGCCCCCCUUUCCUUCAAAACUCCAGACCCUUUGAUGAAGUGCAAAAUCACUGUUGCGCUCCAGUCGAGCUAAAAAUACAAAGCAUCUUCUAGACUUUCAUAUGCAGGUUGGGUUGCUGCUAGUGGGGGAGGAUAGAGAGAUAGCACCACCCAGUGUCUAUCUUAGGAACUUGUAUACAACCUGUGGGAGAAGAUUCAGCUGGUCAUUAUGCCUUGAAACCAGGGAUGCAUCUCAAUAGGCAAAGAUGGCUUCCUCUCCACGACUCGUUUCCCUCAUCUGCAGUGACGUGAUGGAAUUUGACUGAUGAAAGCAAAUUAAUGGCUGACAUCCAUUGGAAAGGAAAGGGAGCCACUAUAGACUAUUAAGAUGGAUCCCAGUUCAGGUUUUCAGUGUGAAUAAAUUGAUAAUAUUAUUCAGGCAAUGUGUUGUGUGUCUCCUUGCAGUUUGUGUUCUGCUGUGACUGUAAGGAGGGGUUCCAUGAGAGGGAAUGUGGUGUGAGGUCAGCACCUGUCACAGGAGGAGCUCUGCAGAGAGGCCUUGAGGCCUGGAACACAACAGAAUGAGGAAGAUGAACCAGGUUAGUGCCCCUGGCCAUGACAACCCGGCCAUGGAAAUGAAGAUGACUGAUGGAAUGGUCAACCAGUCUGAAUGGCAGCCAGUUGUUGGAAUUCAGAUCUCUAAGACAUCGGUGUCGAGUGCUGUCAGGGAAAAUGCAGAGCGGGCAUCUUAUACCUGCAGCCGCCGGAAACGAGCCUGCCUUCAGUGUGAGGAGAAAACCCACAGGUACCAUUGCAGACGACACACCAAACUCAGAUAGGACUUCAAAUACUCAACACUCUUUCAGUGGACACUGGACUCCGCUGACACACAGGAUAACUUACAAUUCAGAUAAACUACUCUAACCCUCAUAACCCCUGCACGCCAAAAUCAAGUCAUUUAACCAUUCAACUUCCUGAACUGCAGUUCAUUCCACUGUAUCUCAGCCCUUUACUUCAAAGAAGUUUCACUCACUCUCUGGUCUCAGAAUGAUAUCAGACAGUAUGAUAACCUUUUUGUUUAGAAGGGAAUUCUUUGAGAGCAUGUAUAAAGGCCUGGUCUGGGAUGAGGACGUCAUAGAUGGAGGAGAAAGAAGCUUCAACCUCAAUAAAAGUCUGCUGAACCAUUUCAGAGAUCUGGCUUCCAGCAAUCAGGGAACUGACGAGGUGGACCUUCAGUACCUGAAUGAUGUGAUCGUAGAUGGAGCCGACCCCAACCCAACAGACAACAGUCUUUACCAGUGAUCAAAUUACUCAAAUACCUUCUGUUGUGGCAGAUCGUUCUCAGGGAAGGCCUCCAGACAGUGUGUGUUCAGGGAAUCUACCUUCUACCUGGUUGUAGAUCUCGAGGUUGUCGAAUGUGGGGCUGACGUCCUGCAUCCUGACCCCUACGGGGUCAUGCCCCUGCAUAUUGCUGCAGCUCUUGACUAUGUGGAGAUGAUCCACUUCCCGUUGGAGAGGAAAGCUGACAUUGGUGCUAAGACCAACAUGGACCAUCAGACGCCUCUCCAUUACGCAGCUAAGAGUGGGGGCACUCAGGGUACUGCUGCAGAAUGAGGUAGACAUCUCCGCACAAGACUACAAAAAGAGAACCCCUCUACAAUUGGCUGCCAACUUAGAUGACCAGGCAGCAGUUCUACUCCCUCCACCUGCUGGAGCCAGAGCCACCCUGCAAGCAGAAUCCACCAGCACAGGGCUCACAAGAGAGAGUGGCCAGUAAGCCUAGAUCACCAGUAUGUCCUCUUUAAGGCUAAACAGACUAAUGCAGUGAUAAUGGAUGAAAACUCAAAUGGAAGACUACAUGUGCGGCAAAUUUGUCAAUGGCCGUUCAUAGUGCACCAGGGAAAGCUGGAUCUCAUCAUGCACCCUGUGGUUCUAAAGCUCAUCACUGUCAAGUGGAAACUAUAUGGCAGGUCAGUUAGUCAGUGAGAGAGAAAGAGAGAGAGAGACUUUGAGAGAGAGAGAGACUUUGAAAGACAGCGAGAGAGACUUUGAGAGAGAGAGCGAGAGAGAGAGAGAGAGAGAGAGAGACUUUUGCCAGAAGGGAGUGGCAGGUGUGUCGCUCGUGCCAAAUGGGUCUCCCCUCUUGCGCCCCUCCAGUCUCUUGCUCUCUCAUAAAUAAAAUACACUAGCGGCCCUGACCAUUCAUGCAGUUAGACACAUAGCUGAAGGGAUCUGUUAAUACAGUACUGAAUGGUGGCUCAGUAUUUCACUCUGGAUAGUAAACGAGUGACUCUGUAGAUUGGGGGCUUGGAUACUCCUACUCCUCAACCUCCUGUUUAUCGUCUCCUGGACAACCAUGGCCAUAUCUGUGUCUGUCAUCCGAGACAAGGAGCCGUAUGUUUUCCCUGAGGUGAGAAAGUGAAGGAGAGAGGGAACUUUACUCUUUUUUAAUGUUGUUUUAAGAUUCACUCAACCCUUAGUUUGGAUCCAAAAUAAAAAAUGGUGAAUAUAAAGGUCCCAACUAUUUUACAGGUCAUACAGAUGCUAGGACAUGCUUGGACAUGCUUGGACAGCUCAUAAGUCACUGAUAAGGUCAUUGUGGACUCUUGUAAAAGAGUCAUUGUGGACUCUAUUGUAAAAGCCAAUGGGGAUCCAAAUAAACAAAUCGAAAUACAAAAAGAUAUAUCUUCCUGCAUGAUUGGUGGAGUGUGUUUGGGGUGGUGGCGACUCUGGGGCUGACAGUGGUGGAGGUGGGCCGGGAGGUGGCGGAGACGAUAGGCUCCAGGAGGAAGCUGAGGAGCUGGUAGCGGUGGUGUGAACGCCAGAUCAACGAUAACCUGCGCUGCACACACCCCAUGUGGCCCAAGGUCAGGCGACAAUACCCAGUAUGCAGACGGUGCCACAGCUGCUCUACAGCCUGUACCGCAUCACUCUGGUGGAUGAGCACGAGUUUAAUUCCAUGGUGGAAGUGGACUCUAUUGUGGCCCACUUCCUCUGUGGCACCUUCCUGGCUCUGUCCUCCAUUCUGUGUGUCAACCUGAUGAUCGCCCUCCUCUCGGAUACCUUUCAAAGGGUGUAUGACAAUGCACUGGCCAAUGCAGUGAUGCAGCAAGCAGCCAUUAUCCUGCAGGUGGAGGAAUCUAUGCCCCGUCUCUGCCGUUUCUAUGACGACCACCACAUCCAACGCUUCUGUGCAUCUGCUUGGGGAGCUUCACGACGAUGACAUCAGAACUGACCCAAAGCGGCACGCAGAGAUGAAGACGAUCACCGCUCAGAUCAAGGUGACGGAAUGGGACAUUCAUCUUAAACGCCAGCAUUUUGAACUGAGACCCUAGAUGAGUUCCUUGAGAUGCAAAAUGAAGUGAAUCGCUCCGAACAAGGAAGAUCUGGUGAUAGUGACAGGGGCUCAGGGGGGAGGCGCUUCUCAUCUCCUGUGCAGGGGGAACACCUGCAGACUCUUCAGAGGCUCCAGAUGGACGAGACCCAGCAGAGCCAGGACCUCAGUGCCCUGAGGGCAGACAUGAAGAUCCUGCAGGCCCUGUUCCACUAACAGAUCCAGUCCCAGACCAGCUCAUGCGUGGGCUGUGGUGUGAAGGCAGCAGAAAGCACUGGGUCAGAGACUGUCGAAGCUCCACCAUAUAGUCCUCCAGGGCCUCAACAGGCUGACUCUUGAUGCUGAAGAUGACUGUAACCAUAGAGACUGUACCAGCACCAGCAACCAGAGAUACAUGACCA